AAUUCUCAACCUUUAUCAACUUUUUUGGUUGGCAAAUGGCUUGGAUGUGGGGGUAUGCAGGUUUCUCUUAUGAAAUCAGCUCCCCUGAAAUAUAUUAGCUGGUUGCCUUGUGUAUACCUGUCUAUUGGUGUGAUAAUUAUCUACGCCAUUGACUGGGUUGCCGUUUUUAGCACUGCUUCUAACCGUCUGUUCAUUCGGACAAUAUAUGACA
rnacentral:misc_RNA from 1 species